rnacentral:rRNA from 1 species
GACGAACGCUGGCGGCGUGCUUAACACAUGCAAGUCGAACGGAAAGGCCCUGCUUGCAGGGUACUCGAGUGGCGAACGGGUGAGUAACACGUGGGUGAUCUGCCCUGCACUUCGGGAUAAGCCUGGGAAACUGGGUCUAAUACCGGAUAGGAGCCAUUUUUAGUGUGAUGGUUGGAAAGUUUUUUCGGUGUAGGAUGAGCUCGCGGCCUAUCAGCUAGUUGGUGGGGUAAUGGCCUACCAAGGCGGCGACGGGUAGCCGGCCUGAGAGGGUGGACGGCCACAUUGGGACUGAGAUACGGCCCAGACUCCUACGGGAGGCAGCAGUGGGGAAUAUUGCACAAUGGGCGCAAGCCUGAUGCAGCGACGCCGCGGGGGGGAUGACGGCCUUCGGGUUGUAAACUCCUUUCGCUAGGGACGAAGCUUUUUGUGACGGUACCUAGAUAAGAAGCACCGGCUAACUACGUG